UUUAGUUAUCUCAAUUGAAAUCAGGUUCUCAAUUUGACUCAAUUUACUACUGAUGCAUUAAUAACAUCAUCAUUAUGGUUUGUUAAUUGGUUAUGCAAAGAUAUCAUCUGAUCAUUUUAAUUGCUUUCCAGUGCUUGGCAAGAUAGACGUUAGUGCUAUUAAGGUGAAGCGCAACAAACAUUUUUACCACAUAUCAGACUCCAUACUUGUGAAACUUGUAUUUGAGAGAGUCAAGGGAACGUGGUUCCUUUAUGUGGAUGCUGCUGGGGAGAAAUCUGAAGAUCAGAUUGCCCAUGACCCAAUUGGAGAGUCAAUGAAAGAGAUUGAUCAUGGCAAGAACCAGCUGCACAGCAAACAAGCAGUUGUACCCGAAAACUUGUUAGUAGAGAAACCAUUGUUCAAUAAUGAACAUGUCACAAAUGCUGGUUUAGCAGUCAGACCUGUGUAAAGAAGAAGAAGAAGAAUCCUGAUUUGAAGCGUAAGUUAUCGGAAGCUGCACAGCAAACAGUUGUACCCAAUUGGAGAGUCAAUGAAAGAGAUUGAUCAUGGCAAGAACCAGCUGCACAGCAAACAGUUGUACCCGAAAACUUGUCACAAAUGGUUGAUGACCUUAAUAUAUGUUUGUUAUCACUUCAACUGGUUCGAGUUUAUGAAGAUUUUCUUUUUGAAUUAAACUUCUUGUGAAGAUGAUGAUAUCAUUAAUUUUGUUUUUGUUGGGAAAAGAAUUCCAGCAUGACAGGUGAACAACUUGCGGCACCUUCAAGUCCAAGAGAUGGGGAGGACCUUUCUAUCACACGUGAACGCCCUAAGCCAAAUCAUCUCAAAAUGCGGACUAUGAUGGGUGUGUUUGUACCAUGCUUGCAGAAUAUUUUAGGAAUCAUAUAUAUACUACAUUCGGUUUUCCUGGAUUGUUGGUAUGGCACGCAUAUGGGAGCCACUAUUGCUGGUUUCUUUUUGUGGCCUGUGUACUUUUUUGACGUCCAUAUCAUUAAGUGCAAUAGCUACUAAUGGCGUAAUAAAGGUAGUGAUAGUGUUACAUAUGCUGUUAUGAGUGAUAAACUGCAACUUUUGAUGCACUUGAAGACAGAAACAGUUGCAAUGAGUUUUGUCACUAACCUAGUAGUAGUAUGUAAAGUGACCAUACAAACAUUUAUUGGAAUUUUGGAUGGUGGGGUGGUUCUAAUGUUGUGAAAGAGUGUGAAAGAGUUCAGUGGCAAUGGCUAUGUUGUCAUGGAUAGCAUAGUUGGGUACGAAGGCACUUUGAUAUGGACUUAUCAUGAAUUGUAAUAGGGGUCUGAGCCGGCUGACAAGAAUUUUGGCUAUGACUUUGUAUACCACAUUGCAUAGGCCGAUCGGUCUAAAGUAGCAGAUGC